UCGAGAGGGAAGGCAGAGAGACAGGAGUGAAGGGAGGGGGGAGGAGAAUGGAGAUGGGUCACAAUGUGGAUCACUUAUAAAAAAAUAAGUUGAAGACUGGCCAAAAAAAACAAUGUGGUGUUUUUUUAUUUUAAAAUCUUUAGAUGAUGUUCUACGGAAUGAAGUGAUAACAAAAGGUUAGAUGAUGUUCUACGGAAUGAAGUGAUAACAAAAGGUUAGAUGAUGUUCUACGGAAUGAAGUGAUAACAAAAGGUUAGAUGAUGUUCUACGGAAUGAAGUGAUAACAAAAGGUUAGAUGAUGUUCUACGGAAUGAAGUGAUAACAAAAGGUUAGAUGAUGUUCUACGGAAUGAAGUGAUAACAAAAGGUUAGAUGAUGUUCUACGGAAUGAAGUGAUAACAAAAGGUUAGAUGAUGUUCUACGGAAUGAAGUGAUAACAAAAGGUUAGAUGAUGUUCUACGGAAUGAAGUGAUAACAAAAGGUUAGAUGAUGUUCUACGGAAUGAAGUGAUAACAAA